GGUUCUAUGGUGUAGUGGUUAGCACUUUGGACUUUGAAUCCAACGACUUGGGUUUGGGUUCAACUCCCAAUAGGACCU